ensembl:misc_RNA 7SK 7SK RNA
GGAUGUGAGGGCGAUCUGGCUGCGACAUCUGUCACCCCAUUGAUCGCCAGGGUUGAUUCGGCUGAUCUGGCUGGCUAGGCGGGUGUCCCCUUCCUCUCUCACCGCUCCAUGUGCGUCCCUCCCGAAGCUGCGCGCUCGGUCGAAGAGGACGACCUUCCCCUAAUAGAGGAGGACCGGUCUUCGGUCAAGGGUUAAGUUCUUAGGAACUUAGGAACUUAAGUCUAGGAACCGUUGAAAAAUACACAGAAUUGAGUCAGCUGAGGUUUGCUUUCCUU